GUAAUAGCUCACUAGUCGAGAGGUCCUGCGCCGAAAAUGUCCGGGGCUGAAACACGACACCGAAGCUUAGGAACAGAAAUGUUGGUAGAGGAGCAUUGUUAGCGGAACGAAGCCAUACCGGAAGGAGUGGUGGACUGCUAAGAAGAGAGAAUGCCGGAAUGAGUAGCGAGAUUGAAGUGAGAAUCUUCAAGGCCGAAUAUCUAAGGUUUCCAGGGUAAAGCUGAUCUGCCCUGGGUAAGUCGGGACCUAAGGCGAGGUCGAAAGACGUAGCCGAUGGACAACAGGUUGAAAUUCCUGUACUGCGAUAUAUCAGAAAUGUGGGGACACAGAAGGAAAGUGUGAGCCGGGAAAGGAAAGACCGGUGCAAGCACAGGAGGAGAGAUACAGGCAAAUCCGUAUCUUAAUCCAAUGGUGUUACGCGGAGCGAACAAAAGUAGCGAAGCACAUGGACCAUCUGUCGAGAAAAGCCGCUAUUGUGUAUACCGUACCCGUACCGUAAACCGACACAGGUGGAUGAGGAGAGAAUCCUAAGGCCGGCGGGAGAAGCAUUGUUAAGGAACUCGGCAAAAUGACCCCGUAACUUCGGGAGAAGGGGUGCCCGUGUAACAGCGGGCCGCAGAGAAUAGGCUCAAGCAACUGUUUAGCAAAAACACAGGUCUAUGCAAAACCGAAAGGUGAGGUAUAUGGGCUGACGCCUGCCCGGUGCUGGAAGGUUAAGAGGAGAGGUUAGCGCAAGCGAAGCUUUGAAUUUAAGCCCCAGUAAACGGCGGCCGUAACUAUAACGGUCCUAAGGUAGCGAAAUUCCUUGUCGGGUAAGUUCCGACCCGCACGAAAGGCGUAAUGAUUUGAGCGCUGUCUCGACAAUGCAUCCGGUGAAAUUGAAGUACCAGUGAAGAUGCUGGUUACCUGCGCCAGGACGGAAAGACCCCAUGGAGCUUUACUCUAGCUUGAUACUGGGAUUCGGUAUUGCAUGUACAGGAUAGGUGGGAGACUGAGAAGUGAUGACGCCAGUUGUCACAGAGUCGAUGUUGGGAUACCACCCCUGCAGUACUGGGUUUCUAACCUGCGGCCGUGACCCGGCCGGGGGACAAUGUCUGGUGGGGAGUUUGACUGGGGCGGUCGCCUCCGAAAGGGUAUCGGAGGCGCUCAAAGGU
rnacentral:rRNA from 1 species